rnacentral:rRNA from 1 species
UACGUAGGGUGCGAGCGUUAAUCGGAAUUACUGGGCGUAAAGCGUGCGCAGGCGGUUCGUUGAUGUCGGUGGUGAAAGCCCCGGGCUUAACCUGGGAAUGGCCAUGGAAACUGGCGAACUGGAGUGUGGCAGAGGGGGUGGAAUUCCGCGUGUAGCAGUGAAAUGCGUAGAUAUGCGGAGGAACACCGAUGGCGAAGGCAAUCCCUGGGCCUGCACUGACGCUCGAUGCACGAAAGCGUGGGGAGCAAACAGG